UGGCGGCUGCUAUACAUGCAGUCGAACGCUUCUUUCCUCCCGAGUGCUUGCACUCAAUUGGAAAGAGGAGUGGCGGACGGGUGAGUAACACGUGGGUAACCUACCCAUCAGAGGGGGAUAACACUUGGAAACAGGUGCUAAUACCGCAUAACAGUUUAUGCCGCAUGGCAUAAGAGUGAAAGGCGCUUUCGGGUGUCGCUGAUGGAUGGACCCGCGGUGCAUUAGCUAGUUGGUGAGGUAACGGCUCACCAAGGCCACGAUGCAUAGCCGACCUGAGAGGGUGAUCGGCCACACUGGGACUGAGACACGGCCCAGACUCCUACGGGAGGCAGCAGUAGGGAAUCUUCGGCAAUGGACGAAAGUCUGACCGAGCAACGCCGCGUGAGUGAAGAAGGUUUUCGGAUCGUAAAACUCUGUUGUUAGAGAAGAACAAGGACGUUAGUAACUGAACGUCCCCUGACGGUAUCUAACCAGAAAGCCACGGCUAACUACGUGCCAGCAGCCGCGGUAAUACGUAGGUGGCAAGCGUUGUCCGGAUUUAUUGGGCGUAAAGCGAGCGCAGGCGGUUUCUUAAGUCUGAUGUGAAAGCCCCCGGCUCAACCGGGGAGGGUCAUUGGAAACUGGGAGACUUGAGUGCAGAAGAGGAGAGUGGAAUUCCAUGUGUAGCGGUGAAAUGCGUAGAUAUAUGGAGGAACACCAGUGGCGAAGGCGGCUCUCUGGUCUGUAACUGACGCUGAGGCUCGAAAGCGUGGGGAGCAAACAGGAUUAGAUACCCUGGUAGUCCACGCCGUAAACGAUGAGUGCUAAGUGUUGGAAGGGUUUCCGCCCUUCAGUGCUGCAGCAAACGCAUUAAGCACUCCGCCUGGGGAGUACGACCGCAAGGUUGAAACUCAAAGGAAUUGACGGGGGCCCGCACAAGCGGUGGAGCAUGUGGUUUAAUUCGAAGCAACGCGAAGAACCUUACCAGGUCUUGACAUCCUUUGACCACUCUAGAGAUAGAGCUUUCCCUUCGGGGACAAAGUGACAGGUGGUGCAUGGUUGUCGUCAGCUCGUGUCCUGAGAAGUUGGGGUUAAGUCCCGCAACGAGCGCAACCCUUAUUGUUAAUUGCCACCAUUUAAUUGGGACUCUUUCGGAAAUGCCCGUGACAAACCCGAGGAGAGUGGGGGAUAAACGCCAAACAACCAAAGCCCCUUAU
rnacentral:rRNA from 1 species